rnacentral:rRNA from 1 species
AGCUUGCUGUUGGUGGAUGAGUGGCGAACGGGUGAGUAACACGUGAGUAACCUGCCCCUGAUUUCGGGAUAAGCCUGGGAAACUGGGUCUAAUACCGGAUACGACCAAUCCUCGCAUGAGGGUUGGUGGAAAGUUUUUCGAUCGGGGAUGGGCUCGCGGCCUAUCAGCUUGUUGGUGGGGUAAUGGCCUACCAAGGCGACGACGGGUAGCCGGCCUGAGAGGGCGACCGGCCACACUGGGACUGAGACACGGCCCAGACUCCUAUGGGAGGCAGCAGUGGGGAAUAUUGCACAAUGGGGGAAACCCUGAUGCAGCGACGCAGCGUGCGGGAUGACGGCCUUCGGGUUGUAAACCGCUUUCAGCAGGGAAGAAGCGAAAGUGACGGUACCUGCAGAAGAAGUACCGGCUAACUACGUGCCAGCAGCCGCGGUAAUACGUAGGGUACGAGCGUUGUCCGGAAUUAUUGGGCGUAAAGAGCUCGUAGGUGGUUGGUCACGUCUUCUGUGGAAACGCAACGCUUAACGUUGCGCGUGCAGUGGGUACGGGCUGACUAGAGUGCAGUAGGGGAGUCUGGAAUUCCUGGUGUAGCGGUGAAAUGCGCAGAUAUCAGGAGGGACACCGGUGGCGAAGUCGGGACUCUGGGCUGUAACUGACACUGAGGAGCGAAAGCAUGGGGAUCGUACAGGAUUAGAUACCCUGGUAGUCCAUGCCGUAAACGUUGGGCACUAGGUGUGGGGGACAUUCCACGUUCUCCGCGCCGUAGCUAACGCAUUAAGUGCCCCGCCUGGGGAGUACGGUCGCAAGGCUAAAACUCAAAGGAAUUGACGGGGGCCCGCACAAGCGGCGGAGCAUGCGGAUUAAUUCGAUGCAACGCGAAGAACCUUACCAAGGCUUGACAUACACUGGACCGUUCUGGAAACAGUUCUUCUCUUUGGAGCUGGUGUACAGGUGGUGCAUGGUUGUCGUCAGCUCGUGUCGUGAGAUGUUGGGUUAAGUCCCGCAACGAGCGCAACCCUCGUUCUAUGUUGCCAGCACGUGAUGGUGGGAACU